AUCAGGAAAAAGGGAGAGGAAGGGAAGGGAGAGGAAGAAAAGACGAAAAAAAGUCCGUCUUUUCCAAGUGGAAAGCGUGGUUGAUUUAUUCAGUCGGGUUGUACGGUGGAAAUAAACUAUCUGGAAAGUGUUGUUGACCAGAAAGGAGUUUGUUACUGCUCGGAUUCUUCUGGGUGAGUUAAUUUGUUGUGAACAAGAAUAUUGUGAGUUUAAGCCACUAACGAUGACAUGCUAGCGGCUAUCGCGGCUAUUGCUAUUAGCCAUGUGGCUGUACAUGUAUGAUUGUAAGGAUUAAACUGUAUGUUAGAGUUUGUUAGCUUCCUAUGACGCUGCAUGUAAAGAUUGUAGGUUAUAUGUAUGCUGUAGAUGUUGAUAUGUUCCUAUAUCAAUCCUUAGUUGUGUUCAUGUGAGGUGAAUACAGUUUAAAGUGAGAGGAGGUAUUUUACUGUUAUUUUAUCAUUGCAUCAGAAUCAUAUAAUAAGCAUUGCAUUAAAGCAUUUAUUGAAGCUAUUGACAUUACAUUAACGUUUGUAUUACAGUGAUUGUUAUAACCUCAUGUUAAUCUUCUAUUUACAGGUGUCAGUAUAAUCAUAUAAUCUUUCAUUGCAGGUGUAACCAUGAUCAUCUUUAUACAUAUUGCCGCUUGGUGCUUAUUAUGGAGUUGUGCUCACGUCAGUAAGGGUUAAAAGCUACAGUCAGCGGGAUGUCUGGCUGAUCUAUUGAGUGAAGUGACGUAGAGCGUAGAAGGCCGCACAUGCUUACAAAACACAUAUACCAUGUUAUUCAUCAUGAUCCUUUAUUCAUUUAUAUUCUUUUAUUAAGCUUUGAGUAGUGGCAUUUGAUUAGAACAUUUAUUCAACAUAUUACAUGUAUGGUUUCAGUUAGGUUAUUGCACACAUGAAGAGUUGGCCUCUGUCCUUAUAGACAGAGUGAAUGCUGAGGUCGAGGCACACACGCACACACACAAGCAGUAGUUAAACUCAUGUGUAGGGGAGAGUUCAAAUAUUUAAAUAACAAUCUGCGAAGCCUUGUAGCUGUUUGAUUAUGCUUGCAGGAGAGACUGUUUGUUCCAGGGGAUAAGCAGAGUUAGAAGAUUACUGGGAAGGAUCUGGCCUCGGGAAGAAGAAGAAGUUCUUGUAAUGUGUUAAAAGUUGUCAACAUUGAUUGUAUUGUACCUACUUUACGCAUGAGGGGGCGUUCUAAUACCCUGAUUUUCAUAAAAACUAUUGUUGUGUGGUUUUCGGAGAGAGAUCCAUGCUGUCUGCGUCCAGUGUUCAUCUCCCACACGUGUGUUCAUUAAAAUCAUCGUUUGACUUGACCCGGCCGGACCAGUGUUGUUAUUUUGGUUUUCCUCCUGUAUCCAUCCCCAAUAUUUUGAACCCGUGACAAAAGAAAAUGGGGUUAUGUUUCUUUGUAGUUGUGCUGCAACGCUGCACCAUCGUCAUUUUGAAGCUCCAGGAGAGCCCAUUUUGUUGGUUACUUUGGUAAGAAGUUAUCAUUGUCCAUGUUUUGGAGUAUUCUGUCAUUCUUUGGGAAUACUGGAAAGGUCAGGUUUUUUUGGGGAGUACAGUUCGGUGAUGAUCCAGUCCAAAGAUGGCGAGCCACCUCUCCAGGAUCCUUGAGAUGAUUGUUUUAAGAAGAGAACUAAAUUCUUUGGACGAGCCGUGAACUGUACAACUUCUACUUAAGUGGUAGGACAGAUUUGCACCUCAUUCCUCCUUUGCACAUCCUGCAAGGAGAAUCUUCAUUGCUGGACUCACACUUAAGGGUGUCAGCUGACACGAGAGAGAGACUGAGUCAAAUCCCCCGGGGUGUGUGUGUGUUUUGUUUAUUAUUUUCCAUGACUUGGGCCCAAUUUUUCCUUUCAUGUACUGUUAUUGUUUUCAUUGUAUGUAUGUGAGAUUCUUUAAUUGUGAAUACAAAUCGAUCAAACCAAGUUCUCUGAGCGUUUCAUUAGUCAUCCACUUUGCUCCAGUAGUCGAACCUCAGCUAUUGGCCCAAC
ensembl:lncRNA